GAUGAACGCUGGCGGCGUGCCUAAUACAUGCAAGUCGAGCGAACAGACGAGGAGCUUGCUCCUCUGACGUUAGCGGCGGACGGGUGAGUAACACGUGGAUAACCUACCUAUAAGACUGGGAUAACUUCGGGAAACCGGAGCUAAUACCGGAUAAUAUAUUGAACCGCAUGGUUCAAUAGUGAAAGACGGUUUUGCUGUCACUUAUAGAUGGAUCCGCGCCGCAUUAGCUAGUUGGUAAGGUAACGGCUUACCAAGGCAACGAUGCUUAGCCGACCUGAGAGGGUGAUCGGCCACACUGGAACUGGGACACGGUCCAGACUCCUACGGGAGGCAGCAGUAGGGAAUCUUCCGCAAUGGGCGAAAGCCUGACGGAGCAACGCCGCGUGAGUGAUGAAGGUCUUCGGAUCGUAAAACUCUGUUAUUAGGGAAGAACAAAUGUGUAAGUAACUAUGCACGUCUUGACGGUACCUAAUCAGAAAGCCACGGCUAACUACGUG
rnacentral:rRNA from 1 species